rnacentral:rRNA from 1 species
UGGGGAAUAUUGGACAAUGGGCGCAAGCCUGAUCCAGCAAUGCCGCGUGUGUGAAGAAGGCCUUCGGGUUGUAAAGCACUUUUAUCAGGAGCGAAACGCUGUCGGCUAAUACCCGGCGGAACUGACGGUACCUGAGGAAUAAGCACCGGCUAACUUCGUGCCAGCAGCCGCGGUAAUACGAAGGGUGCAAGCGUUAAUCGGAAUUACUGGGCGUAAAGCGUGCGUAGGCGGUUUCUUAAGUCUGCUGUGAAAUCCCCGGGCUCAACCUGGGAAUGGCAGUGGAUACUGGGAGGCUAGAGUGUGUCAGAGGGUGGUGGAAUUCCCGGUGUAGCGGUGAAAUGCGUAGAGAUCGGGAGGAACAUCAGUGGCGAAGGCGGCCACCUGGGACAACACUGACGCUGAGGCACGAAAGCGUGGGGAGCAAACAUGAUUAGAUACCCUGGUAGUCCACGCCUAAACGAUGCGAACUGGAUGUUGGUCUCAACUCGGAGAUCAGUGUCGAAGCUAACGCGUUAAGUUCGCCGCCUGGGGAGUACGGUCGCAAGACUGGAAACUCAAAUGAAUUGACGGGGUCAUAGCUGUUUCC